rnacentral:rRNA from 1 species
AUGGCUCAAGAACGAACGCUGGCGGCGCGCCUAAUACAUGCAAGUCGAGCGGAGAAGGUGUAGCAAUACACUUGUAAAGCGGCGAACGGGUGAGGAAUGCAUGGGUAACCUACCUCGAGUGGGGAAUAACUAGCCGAAAGGUUAGCUAAUACCGCAUACGUUUCCGGAACUUCGGUUUCGGAAAGAAAGCAAUACCGUGGGUAUUGCGCUCCUGGAUGGGCUCAUGUCCUAUCAGCUUGUUGGUGAGGUAACGGCUCACCAAGGCUUCGACGGGUAGCUGGUCUGAGAGGACGAUCAGCCACACUGGCACUGCGACACGGGCCAGACUCCUACGGGAGGCAGCAGUAAGGAAUAUUGCGCAAUGGACGAAAGUCUGACGCAGCGACGCCGCGUGGGGGAUGAAGGUCUUCGGAUUGUAAACCCCUUUCGGGAGGGAAGAUGGAGUGGGUAACCACUUGGACGGUACCUCCAGAAGCAGCCACGGCUAACUUCGUG